rnacentral:tRNA from 2 species
GUCCGGGCUGGGGUAGUGGUUAUCCUUCGGGCUUGUGGUGCCCGAGAGCCGGAUUCGAUCUCCGGGCCCGGACUCCA